GUGCUCUCUUCGGCAGCACAUGUACUAAAAUUGGAAAGAUACAGAGAAGAUCAUCAUGGCCUCUGUGCAAGGGUGACAUGCAAAUUCAUGAAGGUUCCAUAUUUUG